CUCUGCUCAAUUUCUUCUUUUGUUUCGGACCCAAGUGGCUUUGACCCCCAGAAGUAAGGAUGAGAUAGAAAUCCACCCACGAUUUUCACAUCCCCAGGUAAAGGUUCUGCCCCAGCUCGGAGAAGAAUAUUAUGAACUAUAUUGCCUCCAGCACUGUCACCACCUAUAUAGAUCUUACUGAAAUCACCGUGCUCAGUUAGCCAUGGUUCCUUUUCGAUGCCAGGGUUUUCAGUAAGGUGAGAAGCUACCCAUUGAAGAGCAGUCCAGGAAUCUUCAUAGGCUAUAGGCAAAGGGUUUUCAGGGGCGAGCCUGUAUUCAACAGAAACGACUAAAGCUUUUGCUGUAGCGGCUAAUAUGUUAAUGUAACGGUUCUCGAGGAAAGUGAAGGCGGAUCCGAGACAAAAUCCACCGCCAUGGUAAUAAACCAAAACUGGGAGCUUUUGGUUUGGUUCUUUGAGUUUUGGGAGGUAUAGUCUGGCUUGAACAACUGGCGAAAUGUUUAAGUCUUUAGAAACUACGCCGUUGACAGCAUCGUCCGGCGACGGAGGAACAUGGGGUGAAUCGAUGAGCCUCUCGACUGUACCAUCUUUGUAUAGUUUGAUAAUCGGAGAGAGGUCGGUGAGAACCUCUUUGGCGGUGUCCGAAGCCAUGGCAGUGUGGUUGAUAGAAAGAGAACCAGUAGAUAGUGUUAGAUUUGAAGAUUUUACACAACAUUUGUAAAAGUCAAUUGUAUAUGCCAAAAGAUUCCGUGUCAAACUUGACUAGAUCGAUUGAAUUGUUUUUGUUUUUCCAUAUUUAAAAAUUCUUAUUCCAGAUCCUACGUAAUUGUGAAGAAAAAUCGUAGGGGCCCAUAAAGAUUGCAUUUUAAACGAUAACUUUCGAGGGUUUAAUUUAAUUGGUUUGCUUCAUGAAUGAUAUCGAUGUGUUGAACUGAAUUAUUUUGCUGCUAUAUGAUCGUCGAUUAAAUAUAUAGUUUAGUAGGUUUUUCAACAUGCAAAAUAACUUAAUUAGCAGCAGAUUUAUGCUCGGUGUAUAGUUAUAAUCUAAGAUAUUGAUUCAUUAUUAGGGUUGUCAAUUUAGAGAUUUAAAAAAAAAAAAAAAAAAAAAAAAAAAAAAAAAAAAAACAAAAAGGGGGGGUUUNNNNNNNNNNNNNNNNNNNNNNNNNNNNNNNNNNNNNNNNNNNNNNNNNNNNNNNNNNNNNNNNNNNNNNNNNNNNNNNNNNNNNNNNNNNNNNNNNNNNNNNNNNNNNNNNNNNNNNNNNNNNNNNNNNNNNNNNNNNNNNNNNNNNNNNNNNNNNNNNNNNNNNNNNNNNNNNNNNNNNNNNNNNNNNNNNNNNNNNNNNNNNNNNNNNNNNNNNNNNNNNNNNNNNNAGAAAUAAAAAAAAAAAAAAAAAAAAAAAAAAAAAAAAAAAACACCAAAAUGGGGGGUUUUGAAAUUACAAACGGUAAAGAAAUUCAAGCUUGGUGAAAGUUGGAUUUUGGAGUUUCUUUCUUGUAUUCUUUGAAUCUGGUAUGCACUGAACUUUUUUCUUGCGUUUAUUAACAUUAUUCUUCGGCUAAAUUUGUAGUUGAGACGAACUAUGUAGCGUUAAAACAAAUUCAUUAUUUUGAUUAUUGAAGACAUGUUUUAUUUAUAGAUGUGUAUCGUUUUUAUCAUUAUGCUUGAUUCAAUUAAUUUUCUUGGCAAUUAUUAAUUGAUUUGUGAAUUGUAACAAGUAUAGAUGUGAGUUAUUGGAUUAGAUAAAAUAUUAAAAAAUAGUAAUUUAGCUAAGAGAUAGAGAUAUAUUCUUAGAGUUAUUGCGAUAGUUUCAAGAAAUUUUUGGUGGAUAAGCACCUUUAAUUAGGUUAAAUUUCACAUGGAGAUAUAGUGAGUUGACUUAAUUAAUAUGAUGAAUCAAUGGGGAGGAUUAAAGUGAAAUCUUGAGUCCUACCAUUUUUCUCAUCAAAUUAACUCUUAAAAUGAGAUUGUCCACUACACAACACUUUAAAUGAUUUCUUAGUUUAGAAAUAGUAUGAUCACUCAAGUGUAAUUUUAUGUUUGUCAAAUAUAAGCUAGUUUAUUAAAAUCAAUAAUUAAGUAUAAUAGUUUGCGUGGAAUGUUAAGACAAAUUCAAGUUCACUUUAUUACUUGUUUACUGUUGUUGUACAUCAGGUUUUUGGCAUCGUUGUGAACUACUUUUAUUUGAUAUUGAUUUUUAGUGAAUUCUUCCUUUCGUUUGAAUUUUUUUAUAUCUUAAUUCCGUAAGGUUGAUAAAAAUUCAAUUGAACAUAUGAAAUAAUUGCUAUGGUUUUAGUGUUAUGAUUAAAAAAGGACAAGUCCCAUAUUAUAAACUAAUAUUUAAUUCAUCACUUUGUAUUAUCUGAAUCUAAAAAAUCAGUCAAGAUAUAAUAAAUCAGUCAUAUAUAUCUUUAUAGCAAUUGAUUUUAUUUUAUUUAUUUAUUUUUGUUAGCAUAAAAUUUAAUUAGAAUUUGCAAAACAAAAAAUGAAAGAAGAAAGGUAUGUAUAAAUCUAAGGAUGAGAAGAAGAGAGAAAAGAGUAUCAUUAAUGUAGAAUUCCAAUAUAUGAAGUCUACAUGUCAACUCAUAAAAGAUAGUGUAAUAAAGUAUCAAUGCUCAUUGGUAAUGGUUCACCCACAAUUAAACAUUAAACGGAAGAAAAAAAAUGUUUGGAGCCAAUAAAGAUUAAGAAGAUUGACGCAGGAAAAUUAUGAGCACCAUUUAGAAUUUGGACCUAACCAUUGAGUACAAAAUAACCUGUGAAUGCAAAAGAUUUUAUAAAAAUAAAUAAAUAAAUUUUAAUGAUUCACUUGUCUGGAUGACGAAAUGAGCCGAAGAUCAAUUUAUCUAUUGAGAGAAGUAAAGAACAAACCCUACAAAUGAAAUAGAGAUCGACAGAUUAAAUAUUCAUUGACAGUUUUUUUCUCGCGGUCCUUUUAUUUUUUUAUUUUUGAAUUGCUAAACUUAAAUAAAGGACAAAACAAUAUGAUUUUUUCUUAUGACGUUCUAAAGAUAUUAUUUUUUACAAAAAUGAUAGUCAUUUCAAUUAAAUAUUUUUAAUCGAACGGAUUCUGUAUAUGAUGCGUUCAUUAGGGAGAAAUCUUUCGUUGAAUAGGGAGAUUGAAUGCACUUGCAAACUAAGAAGGCAGAGAGAACGAAAGGAAAAAUAAAUUUGUUUCAACAAGCGCUCACCUUUUUUGGCUUUUCUAAAAUCGAAUAUUUUGAAGUUGUUAAAGACCCGUCCUUUGUUUCAGAUAGAAUGAGUCCCUGGGACAUUGACUUCCUUCGACAGUGAACUGGCGAUAAUCAAGUGAUUGUAGUUGGUGUGGGAACUCUGUCGAACUCUAAAUUCUUGACUCCACAAAUUGCUCAAGGACAAUAUAGCGUUGUCUAUUCAACACUUCUGUGACCAAAUUUCCAACUAAGACACGUGUCAUUAAUAUUUUGUCAAUAGACUCGAGUUUCAUGGGAGGGCAUAUGAAAAUCCAAACACCCAUGGAUGAUGUUUUAGACAAUGGCUUUUCCCUCAUAAAUAACGAGAUGAGCAAGAAAGUAUUACUACUUGGGAUGGCUUUGUUAUAAAUUUUGUUGUAUAAAAUAUUUCUCUCCAGCCAAAGUUACUACGUAUCAGCAACUUGAUAAGGAGAAGACAUGGGACAUGUUCAAGGAUUUGCUCGAAAGUGUCUUGGUCACGAAUUUUUGAAUGAUCAACAAGUCCAGUAUUUAGACGAUGUAUCAUUUUCAGCAGGUUGGACAAUAGUGGAUUUAGAAGCCAGCAGUUCAUUUGGAACUAUAACUGUGAAUGAAGAAUUGGAAUUAUUUGAAAGAAUUGCUGCUACACAAGUCACGUAGCAAUCUGACUUAGUAGUGACACAGAAAGUUGAUGGAUUCAUGAGAUAGACACUGAUUUGGCCCUUGCUGCACAAGUAAGUACCUGCCUUGUCAAGCCCGAAGGGUAUCACUGCAGUUCCCCCAUCAUAAAAAAAAAAAAAGGAAAAAAAAAAAAGAAAAGGAGUUUACUUCAUGAUUUAAUGGCAUCUUGGGUUCAAAUAGGGUAACCCUUGCUUAAAAAAUUGAACCCAACUUGAACUAGAGAUUGUCCAUUUUUAUUUUUAUUUUGAAUUAAAAGCACCAUCAAAGUCUCAUUGUGUUUUUAUGCCUAUGAAUGGUGGAGGAUUAAAAUACGAUUUUUUGUAGAUUUUGAUCAAAAUUGUUAAAAUGUGUGAUUUAGAAAUUGUAAAUCAAAUAAAAUAUAUAGUUAAAAUUAAUUUUUGACUUUGACUUAGAAUAUGAGCUAUAUACAUAAUCUCUAGUCAAAGCAAUAAAAAUGGAAACACUAGGAGAUACUAACUUCUGUAUAAACAUAAACAAUGAAACAAAAAUGCUUAGAAACCUCUAAACAUGAGAAGUCCGUGUCCAUCAAUCUGUACCAGGAUGAUAAGUCUAGAGGACCAUACAUGUGAUUGCAAUGUCGAUCCCAUUUCAUGUCAUAGUCAUUGUCGUUAACAAAAUAUGUGUGAUUUAUGCCGAAGGAUGAAAUAUUUCAUCCGACAAUUUUUUUCCACAAGAAGAUUGAAAUCAGAACAAAAACUGAAGAAAGAAGAACAUGAGAAAUAUAAUCUCAGAGGGAAAUAAAAGAAGCCAGACGCUUGAUCAGAUCCUUUGCUUUCUCUGUUUCAGGAUUCAAGACAUGAAAGCAAUGAUCUUCUCCUUCAACCUCCACCAUCUCCACCUCCCCAUUCCAACCACUUUUCUUUACAGUCUCAACAUAAAGAAUUCCUCUUGACGUCAAUGGAUCCUUCUCUGCUAAACAAACCAACAGCCUUGAACACCCCAGCCCCGAUAAACUCGGUGCAUCUUCAACAAAUGGAUUGAUCAUAGCAUUGUCAAUCCCACCAGGAACUGAUGGAUAAACAAAUAACCAAAUCUUAUAUAGUAGACUCUGCUCAAUUUCUUCUUUUAUUUCGGACCCAAGUGGCUUUGACCCCCAGAAGUAAGGAUGAGAUAGAAAUCCACCCACGAUUUUCACAUCCCCAGGUAAAGGUUCUGCCCCAGCUCGGAGAAGAAUAUUAUGAACUAUAUUGCCUCCAGCACUGUCACCACCUAUAUAGAUCUUACUGAAAUUACCGUGCUCAGUUAGCCAUGGUUCCUUUUCGAUGCCAGGGUUUUCAGUAAGGUGAGAAGCUACCCAUUGAAGAGCAGUCCAGGAAUCUUCAUAGGCUAUUGGCAAAGGGUUUUCAGGGGCGAGCCUGUACUCAACAGAAACGAUUAAAGCGUUUGCUUCAGCCGCUAAUAUGUUAAUGUAACGUUG
rnacentral:lncRNA from 1 species